UACGUAGGGUGCGAGCGUUAAUCGGAAUUACUGGGCGUAAAGCGUGCGCAGGCGGUUUUGUAAGCCAGGUGUGAAAUCCCCGGGCUCAACCUGGGAAUGGCAUUUGGGACUGCAAGGCUGGAGUGCGGCAGAGGAGACUGGAAUUCCUGGUGUAGCAGUGAAAUGCGUAGAUAUCAGGAGGAAUACCGAUGGCGAAGGCAGCCCCCUGGGCUGACACUGACGCUCAGGCACGAAAGCGUGGGGAGCAAACAGG
rnacentral:rRNA from 1 species